rnacentral:rRNA from 1 species
CGUCUAUAUACGUAUAGCAUAUCAAUAAGCGGAGGAAAAGAAACUAACAAGGAUUCCCCUAGUAACGGCGAGUGAAGCGGGAAGAGCUCAAAUUUGAAAUCUUAAAGGGUUUCCCUUGACGAAUUGUAGUUUAUAGAAGUGUUUUCUGUUAGUAGAGUUCGGUAAAAGUUCUUUGGAAUAGGACAUCAUAGAGGGUGAGAAUCCCGUAUUUGACCGUUACUUUCCUAGCUUUGUGAUACACUUUCAAAGAGUCGGAUUGUUUGGGAAUGCAGUCCAAAAUGGGUGGUAAAUUUCAUCUAAAGCUAAAUAUUGGCGAGAGACCGAUAGCGAACAAGUACCGUGAGGGAAAGAUGAAAAGAACUUUGAAAAGAGAGCUAAACAGUACGUGAAAUUGUCAAAAGGGAAGCGUUUGACACCAGUGUUGUUUAGUUCGAAAAUCAAUUCAAUAAUUUUUGAUUUUGAGUAGUAUUGACUUCAUCAGCUUGCUGCUCUCUUUUCGGAAAUUAUUGAAUGCACUUUUCAGUUAACAAGUCAACAUCAAUUUCUUUUGUUGUAAAAGGGUAAGAGGAAGGUGGCUUACGCUUCGGCGUAAGUGUUUAUAGCCUUUUACCUCUGCAAUCGGAGAGAUUGAGGUCUGCAGCGUAGAUCCUUCGGGGUUAGAUACAUUGGUGCUAAGCUAUAGCCUUGUAUAGACAACUUGUUGACUAUGCUCAGUCAUGUAGCUUACUCGCUGAUGCUAUUUUACCUACGCUUAGGAUGUUGAAGAUAUGCGCGACACG